AACGAACGCUGGCGGCAGGCUUAACACAUGCAAGUCGAGCGCCCCGCAAGGGGAGCGGCAGACGGGUGAGUAACGCGUGGGUAUCUACCGUGCCCUACGGAAUAACGCAUGGAAACGUGUGCUAAUACCGUAUACGCCCUACGGGGGAAAGAUUUAUCGGGGUAUGAUGAGCCCGCGUUGGAUUAGCUAGUUGGUGGGGUAAAGGCCUACCAAGGCGACGAUCCAUAGCUGGUCUGAGAGGAUGAUCAGCCACAUUGGGACUGAGACACGGCCCAAACUCCUACGGGAGGCAGCAGUGGGGAAUAUUGGACAAUGGGCGCAAGCCUGAUCCAGCCAUGCCGCGUGAGUGAUGAAGGUCUUAGGAUUGUAAAGCUCUUUCACCGGUGAAGAUAAUGACGGUAACCGGAGAAGAAGCCCCGGCUAACUUCGUGCCAGCCGCCGCGGUAA
rnacentral:rRNA from 1 species